CCAGACUCCUACGGGAGGCAGCAGUAGGGAAUCUUCGGCAAUGGACGGAAGUCUGACCGAGCAACGCCGCGUGAGUGAAGAAGGUUUUCGGAUCGUAAAGCUCUGUUGUAAGAGAAGAACGAGUGUGAGAGUGGAAAGUUCACACUGUGACGGUAUCUUACCAGAAAGGGACGGCUAACUACGUGCCAGCAGCCGCGGUAAUACGUAGGUCCCGAGCGUUGUCCGGAUUUAUUGGGCGUAAAGCGAGCGCAGGCGGUUAGAUAAGUCUGAAGUUAAAGGCUGUGGCUUAACCAUAGUACGCUUUGGAAACUGUUUAACUUGAGUGCAAGAGGGGAGAGUGGAAUUCCAUGUGUAGCGGUGAAAUGCGUAGAUAUAUGGAGGAACACCGGUGGCGAAAGCGGCUCUCUGGCUUGUAACUGACGCUGAGGCUCGAAAGCGUGGGGAGCAAACAGGAUUAGAUACCCUGGUAGUCCACGCCGUAAACGAUGAGUGCUAGGUGUUAGACCCUUUCCGGGGUUUAGUGCCGCAGCUAACGCAUUAAGCACUCCGCCUGGGGAGUACGACCGCAAGGUUGAAACUCAAAGGAAUUGACGGGGGCCCCGCACAAGAU
rnacentral:rRNA from 1 species